UAGGGAAUCUUCCACAAUGGACGAAAGUACUGAUGGAGCAACGCCGCGUGAGUGAAGAAGGGUUUCGGCUCGUAAAACUCUGUUGUUAAAGAAGAACAUAUCUGAGAGUAACUGUUCAGGUAUUGACGGUAUUUAACCAGAAAGCCACGGCUAACUACGUGC
rnacentral:rRNA from 1 species